GUACUCCGCCUGGGGAGUACGCACGCAAGUGUGAAACUCAAAGGAAUUGACGGGGACCCGCACAAGUAGCGGAGCAUGUGGUUUAAUUCGAAGCAACGCGAAGAACCUUACCUAAGCUUGACAUCCCUUAGACCGGUGUUUAAUCACACCUUCCCUUCGGGGCUGAGGUGACAGGUGGUGCAUGGUUGUCGUCAGCUCGUGUCGUGAGAUGUUGGGUUAAGUCCCGCAACGAGCGCAACCCUUGUCUUUAGUUGCCAGCAUUCAGUUGGGCACUCUAGAGAGACUGCCAGGGAUAACCUGGAGGAAGGUGGGGAUGACGUCAAAUCAUCAUGCCCCUUAUGCUUAGGGCUACACACGUGCUACAAUGGGUGGUACAGAGGGUUGCCAAACCGUGAGGUGGAGCUAAUCCCUUAAAGCCAUUCUCAGUUCGGAUUGUAGGCUGAAACUCGCCUACAUGAAGCUGGAGUUACUAGUAAUCGCAGAUCAGAAUGCUGCGGUGAAUGCGUUCCCGGGUCUUGUACACACCGCCCGUCACACCAUGGGAGUCGGAAACACCCGAAGCCGAUUAUCCAACCGCAAGGAGGAAGUCGUCGAAGGUGGCGUCGAUAACUGGGGUGAAGUCGUAACAAGGUA
rnacentral:rRNA from 1 species